GCCGAGAUGAGAGUCACAUCCCAACAUGGCUCUUGUCCUGCUGUGCUGGAGUCCCUGGAGAGGAUCUGCUGAUCUUGUUUCGCGGAUGGAGACAAUCAGUGCCCCUGUUAGCACCCAGGUCAGAAACAUGU
ensembl:snoRNA